AGUUUGAUUAUGGCUCAAGAUUGAACGCUGGCGGGACUGCUUUCACACAUGCAAGUCGAACGGCAGCACGGACUUCGGUCUGGUGGCGAGUGGCGAACAGGUGAAGUAAUGUAUCGGAACGUGCCUAGUAGCGGGGGAUAACUACGCGAAAGCGUGUAAUACCGCAUGCGCGCCCUUCGGGGAAAGCGGGGGACCUUCGGGCCUCCGCCCUAUUACGAGCGGCCGAUAUCGGAUUAAGCUAGUUGAAUUUGGGGUAACGUCCUGCAGGCGACGAUCCGUAGCUGGUUUGAGGGGAGGACGACCAGCCACACUGGGACGAGACACGGCCCAGACUCCUACGGGAGGCAGCAGUGGUGGGGAAUUUUGGACAAUGGAAACCCUGAUCCAGCCAUCCCGCGUGUGCGAUGAAGGCCUUCGGGUUGUAAAGCACUUUUGGCAGGAAAGAAACGGCACGGGAUAAUACCCCGUGCAACUGACGUACCUGCAGAAUAAGCACCGGCUAACUACGUGCCAGCAGCCACGGUAAUACGUAGGGUGCAAGCAUUAAUCAAGGAAUUACUGGGCGUAAAGCGUGCGCAGGCGGUUCCGGAAAGAAAGAUGUGAAAUCCCAGAGCUUAACUUUUGGAACUGCAUUUUUUAACUACCGAGCUAGAGUGGUAUCAGGGAAGUGGAAUUCCGAUGUAGCAGUGAAAUGCGUGAAUGUGCGGAGGAGACACCGAUGGCGAAGGCGGCCUCCUGCGGAUAACCUUGCUGACGCUCAUGCACAACGUGAGGCAAUAUAGGAUUAGAUACCCUGGUGUGGUCACGCCCUAAACGAUGUCAAUAGCUGUUGGGGCCUUCGGGCCUUGGUGGCGCAGCUAACGCGUGAAGUUGACCGCCUGGGGAGAAUGCAGUCGCAAGAUUAAAACUCAAAGGAAUUGACGGGGACCCGCACAAGCGGUGGAUGAUGUGGAUUAAUUCGAUGCAACGCGAAGAGCCUUACCUACCCUUGACAUGGAAUCCCGAAGAGAUUUGAGAGUACUCGCAAGAGAACCGGAACACGAGUGCUGCAUGGCUGUCGUCAGCUCGUGUCGUGAGAUGUUGGGUUAGUCCACAACGAGCGCAACCUUGUCCGUAGUUGCUGAAGGGUGCUCGUGAGACUGGUGACAACCGGAGGAAGGUGGGGACGACGUCAAGUCCUCGCCCGGCCCUUAGCGGGUGAGGCUUCACACGUCAUAAAUGGUCGGGACAGAGGGGUCGCCAACCGCAGGAGGCCAAUCCCGAGCCAGUCAAUAGUCCGGAUCGCAGUCUACCCAACUCGACUGCGGCGAGUGGAACUCUUCAAUGACUCGCGGAUCAGCAUGUCGCGGUGAAUACGUUCCCGGGUCUUGUACACACCGCCCGUCACACCAUGGGAGUGGGAUUUCGCACCAGUGAUUAGCCUAACCGGCGUAAGGAGGGCGAUUACCACGGUAGGAUUCGACUGACUGGGGUGAAAUCGUAGCUAAAAGGAGAGCAG
rnacentral:rRNA from 1 species